GGAAGGUUGGCAGAGUGAUCGAUUGCGCUAGACUCGAAAUCUGGUGUACUCUUUAUGGGUACCGGGGGUUUGAAUCCCUCACCUUCCG
rnacentral:tRNA from 1 species